AUUGUUGAAAUAGUUAUGUACAUGUAUAAGUAUCAUCCGUCCUUUUCUCGAUUUUAAUAGCGGCCUACAUUGAAAGUUCAAGAUGUUCAAAGCCCUUUUCAAGCGUAGAUCUAACAGAGUAGGAGUUGGCACAAGGUCCACAAGGCCCUCCUAUGUCGCACCAAGACGGCUGACAUUGGAUGAAAAAGUUCGGUACUUUGAAAAUUUGAAGAAGAUUCAGGAGAAAAAAUUUCUUUGCUUUGGUCGUCAGUGGAGGCAACCAGGACCACACAGGGAUGAGAUCAAACAGGCCAUGUGCAGUACAUUGAUGUGGAAACGUCAUCUUGAAAAGAUAAUUUCUAUUCUAGAGCAAGAGCAGAUACAUCAUGCACAGAGUGUCUCCAAGCAAAUUGCUAAGAGGUUCCCGUACAUACUGGGAGCUCAAACUACAUUCCCGCCACCCAAGUACAACAGGCGUAACCAGACACUAUUGCAGCUGAUUAACAUGAGCAUGUGAACGAGUGACAGUUAAAGACCUUAAACUUACCUUAAAGUAUAAUACAAGUAUAAUAUGUAAAACAAUAUAUAGGUAGUAUGCAUGUGCACUUACAAAAUUACCCGUAAAUCUCGGCAUAGCUGUAUUAGUAGUACAACCUCGAUUAUCCGGCCAAGUUUAUGUUUUAUGUUUCUUUGACUUGCUCUUAAAUACAGGGAUUCUACUGUG